rnacentral:rRNA from 1 species
AGAGUUUGAUCCUGGCUCAGGACGAACGCUGGCGGCGUGCCUAAUACAUGCAAGUAGAACGCUGAAGAGAGGAGCUUGCUCUUCUUGGAUGAGUUGCGAACGGGUGAGUAACGCGUAGGUAACCUGCCUUGUAGCGGGGGAUAACUAUUGGAAACGAUAGCUAAUACCGCAUAACAAUGGAUGACCCAUGUCAUUUAUUUGAAAGGGGCAAAUGCUCCACUACAAGAUGGACCUGCGUUGUAUUAGCUAGUAGGUGAGGUAACGGCUCACCUAGGCGACGAUACAUAGCCGACCUGAGAGGGUGAUCGGCCACACUGGGACUGAGACACGGCCCAGACUCCUACGGGAGGCAGCAGUAGGGAAUCUUCGGCAAUGGGGGCAACCCUGACCGAGCAACGCCGCGUGAGUGAAGAAGGUUUUCGGAUCGUAAAGCUCUGUUGUAAGUCAAGAACGAGUGUGAGAGUGGAAAGUUCACACUGUGACGGUAGCUUACCAGAAAGGGACGGCUAACUACGUGCCAGCAGCCGCGGUAAUACGUAGGUCCCGAGCGUUGUCCGGAUUUAUUGGGCGUAAAGCGAGCGCAGGCGGUUUGAUAAGUCUGAAGUUAAAGGCUGUGGCUCAACCAUAGUUCGCUUUGGAAACUGUCAAACUUGAGUGCAGAAGGGGAGAGUGGAAUUCCAUGUGUAGCGGUGAAAUGCGUAGAUAUAUGGAGGAACACCGGUGGCGAAAGCGGCUCUCUGGUCUGUAACUGACGCUGAGGCUCGAAAGCGUGGGGAGCGAACAGGAUUAGAUACCCUGGUAGUCCACGCCGUAAACGAUGAGUGCUAGGUGUUGGAUCCUUUCCGGGAUUCAGUGCCGCAGCUAACGCAUUAAGCACUCCGCCUGGGGAGUACGACCGCAAGGUUGAAACUCAAAGGAAUUGACGGGGGCCCGCACAGGCGGUGGAGCAUGUGGUUUAAUUCGAAGCAACGCGAAGAACCUUACCAGGUCUUGACAUCCCGAUGCUAUUUCUAGAGAUAGAAAGUUACUUCGGUACAUCGGUGACAGGUGGUGCAUGGUUGUCGUCAGCUCGUGUCGUGAGAUGUUGGGUUAAGUCCCGCAACGAGCGCAACCCCUAUUGUUAGUUGCCAUCAUUCAGUUGGGCACUCUAGCGAGACUGCCUGUAAUAAACCGGAGGAAGGUGGGGAUGACGUCAAAUCAUCAUGCCCCUUAUGACCUGGGCUACACACGUGCUACAAUGGUUGGUACAACGAGUUGCGAGUCGGUGACGGCAAGCUAAUCUCUUAAAGCCAAUCUCAGUUCGGAUUGUAGGCUGCAACUCGCCUACAUGAAGUCGGAAUCGCUAGUAAUCGCGGAUCAGCACGCCGCGGUGAAUACGUUCCCGGGCCUUGUACACACCGCCCGUCACACCACGAGAGUUUGUAACACCCGAAGUCGGUGAGGUAACCUUUUGGAGCCAGCCGCCUAAGGUGGGAUAGAUGAUUGGGGUGAAGUCGUAACAAGGUA